GGAAAGGAAGCUUUAUUGUUUCCAAGAACUCUGCUGGAGGAGUCAUGCAAACUUCACCAUUUCUUCCUCUAAUGUCCAUGUGCCAUAAUGGUAUGAGGAAGGGAGAACAAGCCUUUGAAACGGCUACCAGGAUCCUCUGUAGAUCUCUGGGAUAUCAUUCACUCAUGCUUCUAUGCUGGCUGACUCCUAACAUCAUCACAUUCUUCCAGUUCCCACAGUAGUCACGUAGGCAGAGCCUUCUGAGCUACGGUAAA
rfam:Callithrix jacchus chromosome 2, whole genome shotgun sequence